rnacentral:misc_RNA from 1 species
GAGAGAGAGAGAGAGAGAUUCUGCAGAAUUUCUCAUUCUUAGGGAUGAUAGUCAUGAAGUUUUCAAAGUUUUAUUUUGAAAAUUUUAAAUUUUAUGACAAUCUUGUGGCUAUUUUUGCAAAUGCUUUUGAAGUUUGAACCAUUACUGUUCAAGGUAUAUGUGUCCAGAUUGACUUUGAAAGUACUGUAUCUUGAUUGAUAUAACAGAAGGCUUUUGCUGGUCUCUCUGUCAUGGCCUGAGGUUGCUAAUAACAAAUUUUGGAGCUAUAUAGUGCAAUUGCAAGAGUAACACUGUUCAUUAGUUUUUGGCUGAUCGUGUCUUCUUAAAUUUUUUUUUUUUUGGCUACCAAUAUCAGAUGGUUUCUCUUUUUGUCAAACAUUGUCAAUCUAAUUCUUGGUUGGUUUCUUGUUUUAUGGUCUAGCUACCUUACUUGGGAAUGCUGUUUUUAUUUUAUUGUUAUUAUUUUAUGCUUCUGAGUCUCUGAUUUAAUAUCUGCA